GACGAACGCUGGCGGCGUGCCUAAUACAUGCAAGUUGAGCGCUGAAGGUUGGUACUUGUACCAACUGGAUGAGCAGCGAACGGGUGAGUAACGCGUGGGGAAUCUGCCUUUGAGCGGGGGACAACAUUUGGAAACGAAUGCUAAUACCGCAUAAAAACUUUAAACACAAGUUUUAAGUUUGAAAGAUGCAAUUGCAUCACUCAAAGAUGAUCCCGCGUUGUAUUAGCUAGUUGGUGAGGUAAAGGCUCACCAAGGCGAUGAUACAUAGCCGACCUGAGAGGGUGAUCGGCCACAUUGGGACUGUGACACGGCCCAAACUCCUACGGGAGGCAGCAGUAGGGAAUCUUCGGCCAUGGACGAAAGUCUGACCGAGCAACGCCGAGUGAGUGAAGAAGGUUUUCGGAUCGUAAAAAUCUGUUGGUAGAGAAGAACGUUGGUGAGAGUGGAAAGCUCAUCAAGUGACGGUAACUACCCAGAAAGCGACGGCUAACUACGUG
rnacentral:rRNA from 1 species